CCUACUGUCAUGGAUGCACCACACUUUAACAAAGGGAAGGUGGAAACAGAGUUGGAAAAUUUGCAGAAAGAGAACCAAAGGCUUAGAUUAUUGUUAGAAGCAAUGAGCAGCAAGUAUAAGGUGCUUCACGAAGCCUAUGUCCAAGAAUCAAACAAGGGAGCAAGGCCUCAAGUUGCUAAGGCGUCACAUGUUUUUGUGAAAACGGACCCUAGAGACAAGCUACUUUUCUUAGCAUUACUGUGUGUAACAGCUAGAUUUUCAGAUAGUUAAAGAUGGUUUUCAAUGGAGGAAAUAUGGCCAGAAAGUUACUAAAAACAAACCCUCACCCCGAGCUUAUUUCAAGUGCUCUGUGGCUCCUGGAUGUCCGGUCAAAAAGAAGGUUCAGCGAUGCGUGGAGGAUGAAUUGUGAUGGCAACAUAUGGACAGCACAAUCAUGAUGUUUGUUCUACAUCACCAGGAGGA